GACGAACGCUGGCGGCGUGCUUAACACAUGCAAGUCGAACGGUGAAGGGACCGGUUUUUGCUGGUUCUGGAUGAGUGGCGAACGGGUGAGUAACACGUGAGUAACCUGCCCCCUUCUUCUGGAUAACCGCAUGAAAGUGUGUCUAAUACGGGAUAUUCUGCGCCUGCUGCAUGGUGGGUGUGGGAAAGAUAUUGUUUCGGUGGGGGAUGGGCUCGCGGCCUAUCAGCUUGUUGGUGGGGUGAUGGCCUACCACGGCGGUGACGGGUAGCCGGCCUGAGAGGGUGGACGGUCACACUGGGACUGAGACACGGCCAAGACUCGUACGGGAGGCAGCAGUGGGGAAUAUUGCACAAUGGGCGCAAGCCUGAUGCAGCGACGCCGCGUGAGGGGUGGAGGCCUUCGGGUUGUAAACCUCUUUCGCCAGUGAAGCAGGCCUGUCCCUUUUGUGGGUGGGUUGACGGUAGCUGGAUAAGAAGCGCCGGCUAACUACGUG
rnacentral:rRNA from 1 species